rfam:Triticum aestivum genome assembly, contig: Triticum_aestivum_CS42_TGACv1_scaffold_224943_3B
CUACUACUCCCUCCGUCCGAAAAUACUUGUCAUUGAAAUGGAUGUAUCUAGAUGUAUUUUAGUUCUAGACACAUCCAUUUUGAUGACAAGUAAUUACGGACGGACGGAUUAUUAU